UGUUCUUAUCACAGGGCCUCUUGUC
rnacentral:piRNA from 1 species